CAUGAAGCUCUGGUUCCCACCUCCCCCUACACACACACACACACACACACACACACACACACACACCCUCCCAUUUCUCUCCAGAGGUGUGUAGGGGAAAAACAACUCGCGCCUCCGCAGGGGAAAGGCAUUUGCCACAGAUAAAGCUAAUUUAAUCUGAUGAAAUGUGACAUUUCGCUAUGGCCAGAAAGUGCACGUCUCACGUCAAGAUUAAUGAAUCGCCAGCAGCCAAUCUUUUAAACACAUGACACUAAAGGCGAUGCUGAGACACCGGGGUGUGGUUUUUGGUAAGAUGAAUAAUGAAAUAUAAAUUAAUAAGAAGAAAAACGUGGGAUGCAGCUACCGGAAUCCUGCUGACGGAGAUGCUGAAGGCGGAUACUUUGAUUAGAAGUGAGAAGUUGUUUCAUACUUCUCUGCAUUCCUUCCGUUCUCUCAGUCCUCCUCCUCCUCUUCCUCAUCCUCCUCCUCUCUUCUGUUCGAAUUGUGUAACCAGCACGUGUGUGUGUGUGUGUGUGUGUGUGUGUGUGUGGCUGUUUACUCGUGUGGUUAACAGUGUCGAUGGUUGGUAAGGGGAAUUUCCUUGUGCCUUGCCAAGACGAGGCAGAUUGGCGCUCAGCUUGUGCCAGGGUUGCGCUAAAUAAUUAUUACCUCUCAGAAUUACUUACGGUCUGCUGAGUAGCAUUUCAUUGGCAAAUAAAGCCCAUUAGCUCCAAACUAUCGGCUUUCUGUGCAAAACACUGUAAUUAUUCGGGACGCGCUUCCCGGGUUGAUGGAAAAAGGAGGGCAUGGAGACGUCGUGGCCCCCAUGUAGCCGACUGUAGACAGGUUUCCUUUCCUUUACGCUGUGCUCCGACAUCACCUUGACCCUCGCUGUCUCGUAAAUUCCGCAGGGUGACAGGAUGUCCUCAUUACCGAAAGAAAAAGAGGGCGUUCUGUGUUCGCCAGUGGACUCGAUUAACAUAAAGUGACACUGAGCAAAAACAAGAAAAAGACCCGUGGCCUUGAAUUUGCUGCACGUGACGAGCUGAAAGCGCCUUUGUGAGGAAGAUAACAUAACGUAGAUGACGGAGCACACUUGUCACUUUCUAACAAUAUGUUCAAGCGUCAAUUCCUUGCUUACAAACAUCCGGAUAAAUGAAUAACGAUAAACGAAUAACGUGACUCGUGACAAUGUUUCCAGUUUAAUGCUAUGCUACUAAUGACUACAAUGGUUUGUUUCACACUGGCACUUCUUUUAACUAGUGGCACACACUCUGAACUGAUGAGAUACAGAGAACAAAUGCGUAUUUCUAUGCUAUUCGUCUUUAAAUGUUGUGCUUUUCCAACUAGCCGUGUCAUCAGUUUGCUAAUCAGGCCAAAGAGGGUAAAUAACCUCUUUGAUAGCCACCAGAAACUCUUUCCUUUCUCUAUGAGCUACCUCUAGCUACAGUUUUUCCCCUCUUUUGGCUGCUCCCGUUUGGGGUCACCACAGCAGAUCACCCCUCUGAAUAUUUUGAUUCUGGCCCAAGUUUCAUGCCAGAUGCACUUCCUGAUGCAACCCUCCUCAUUUCCAGGCUUGGGACCAGCACUGGCUCGUGCAACCCUCUAGUGGCUACAAUUGGGGAAUUGAACCCAGAUCGUGGCGAUGAGAGCGCUUCAUAGCUGCCUACAGUUAAAUAAUUUACAUAAAUGUAUGGCCGCAACACAGGAUCUACUCGGUCCACCAGUUGUUGCCGGUUUAGAGGAAGAAAACCAUUCAUCUUGAUUAUUUGCGUUUCCUGCCUCCACACUUUAUAGCAGGGGUCAUCGUGGUCCGGACGUGGACCUUGCAAAGUAUUUCAGCUGAUCGAAUUUAGUGCUUGGAAAAGCACCAUAACCAACUCGUCCAUAGUCCGUAGUUUGGACCAAACUACGUAGUAACCGUCAUUAGGGUUAACCCUAACCCUAACCAUUGCUGAUACGUUAGCAGAUGCUCUGUUGCAGCCAAUCAUGUUUAAUAUUUAUCUGAAGGCAGCUCAUUAGACCAGAGACUAGCUACAAGGGGUAAAGAUAUUAACUCAGAAUGUCAUUGCGAGAGUUUUAUUUACACUCUCUGGUCUGGUUAACGCACUGAUGACAUGUCUUGGUUAAAGAAGUUGACGGAAGCAGAAUUUUUAAAGAUGAGUGGACAGCGAAGACAAAUUCAAAACCGAUGUGUCUAGGGAGAAGUGCACAACUGUGUAUAAACUUCUAAAUCGUCUUAUUUAUAGCCAUUACAGGUCAUUGUUGUCAUCAUUUGGUCAUGUUAGUCACUUAUGUGAAAUUUUAUAAGUAAAGAAUUCAGCAGUUUAGUUGAAUUUAGUUGAAUAUUGCUGCUCUAUAGUACUCUGCAGUACCUCCUCCAUCCCUGAAUAACAAGCUCACCGUUUUAUAACACCCUCUAUGCACUGCUGUAAGGCUUUAGAUAAUCCUUCCAGAACAAACAAAAAAAAAAUAGAAAAACCUAUUUUUAUAAAAUACGUCCAAUAUGUUUAGAGCUUAAAUAUCCUCAUGUCCUUGUAUUCAUUUUUCUUUUUCUUUAAGUGAGCCCUCUGUGGCUUAGCAGGCUUGGAUAGUCUUAGUCUCCGUGAAAGGAUCCAUCCGUAUGAUUAGCGGCUUGGUUUAAAAGGUUGCCUAAUAAUGUUGUGACUGUUAAUAAGCACUGCUUACACUUUUCUAUAGGCAGUGUGUAUAUAAUUAGCCGGGCUGGGAUGAGCCGGGCUGUUUAAUCAAUAGGCUAAUGCACGGCUCAAAAGGAGCCGGGAAAGAAUAGGGCCAGGGAGUACUGCUGCGAGGCACAAAGGCCACAAAGGGAAUGGCUGUCUCUGCUUAAGUCUCAGCAGAUCAAUUUGCCAUAUCCUGAACAGCCUGUUUAAAAAGAAACCCAGAAUAAGACGGCGUGUCCUGUGUGUCCCGUCCUCUAGGGGGAGACGUCAAUCUUGCACAAAUAGCCGGCUUCAGUGGAGGACUAAGAAAAUGGCUUUUCUAUUUCACACACACACACAAAAAAAACCCUCACAACUUACUCUUACUCUCUGGUUACUUCCCUGCCGCUCAUAUCGAUUAGACCAUGAUAGACAGGCAGUGCUCGGUUUCAUUUGUGACAAAAUGUAUCCUCACAAAGAGCUGUUUACUUAGGAAAAAGGACGGAGGAAAAAAAAAGAGAAGGACGAGUGAAAAAAGCAGCGUGAAUGAAGGCUUUGUUCGCCGAGGCCUAGGCGCUGCAUGAGAGGAUGCAGGGCACUGAUGGAUAGUUAUACCUGGCUCCCCCCUGGUGCCUCAAAUGCCUCAGCUAGAUACCACGGCUUGAUACAAACGCACCCUCUGUCCACCUCCCCCUCUCUCACUCCCCCUGGACUGGCUUUGUGUACGAACAACCGGAGCCUUUUCCUGCCUUCGCUCUUUUUUUCAGUGGCCUUUCCAUUUUCCGCUCAAGCCGAAGAAGGAGGGGUUUGGCAACUUGUCCAGGCUCACCUGUGGAUGGUAAAGUGGGAGGCUUGUCUGGUGAGAAAAGAAGACAAAAAGCAGUUGAUCUUUGUGUGAAUCUGAAAAUCUGUGACGUACGUUUUUAAGUUUUUAGGAAGGGAUAACGUCAGUCGAAGCUGUCGAACGGAUUCUAGAAGUAAGGAUGGGCAGCGCUAAGAGAUUCAACAAUGGAGAGGUCUGUUGUUGUUGUUUUUUCUCCUUGAAUAAAGGUAGCAGGUGUUCAGGAUUGUGGUAUUGAUUAAACUGCUGCAAUAUAAACGUAGCUAUGUGUAGAAUGGUUUUAUACGCUCUUGAAUCCGUUGACGUAUGGAUGUUUCGUGAAGGACAGAGUGCACAAGAAUUGUUGCACAAAGUCAACAGCAGGAAGAGAAGAACCAGACUCUAAAAGGAACCUGUCCUCUUCUCUGUGGCACUGGAUAGUAGGAUUACAACAUCGUUAUGGUGUACUGGUGUAGGUAGAAGAGUAAAGCCAAACAGUACUGGUGUCUUGAAAGGAUGUUCAGAAUGAGAUUGUGAAUGAGUCCUGGCUGGGAUGAGCAACAGGACCGUCUUUAUGAUAUCAGCAGAAGUUAGUAGGUACAACUCUACAGUAUCUAGGUGAGAUUAAACACUGAAGCAAGACUGAGAAACUGUUUUGGGGGCGUGCAAAUCUUUAGGAUAUCCAUGAGUUCAUGUAUGUUUAGAAUUACAAAGUAUGUCCAUGUUUGUCUUGACCUUCAAGAAUCACAGGGUUAAUGAGAUAUGUAAUAGGGCUGUAAUGCAAUGCCACUAUCUGUAACUGCAUUUCUUUAAUGCUCCAAACAUUGUGCCUAGAACUUAGCUCACUCCAUCACUCCAGUCCAUAAUUGGUCUCAACUAGAGAUUCAUUUUUUGUUUGUUCGUUUUAUGAUAUUUUUUUUAAACAAAUGUAGUUUCCCAAAAUUGAAACAAACUAGUAGUAUAAUUUAAACUGCUGUGACCAUGAUGAGGCAGUAACUAAGGAUGAAUUAAUGAAUUGCACAAACCAGUCUUUCUUUAUCCCGCUCGCAUCAAAAGUAAAAACCUUCCACUCUCAUGACUCACCCCCCGGGCAGGGUCUUGAUACAUACCUCUAAUCUACAUCAAAUGCUUUGUGAACCUUUCUGGCUUUUUUGUUGUUGUUGAACCAAACACACCUCUAAUAUACGUAUAUGUAUCUGUUUAGAACAUCUGUUUGAUUCUGAAUAACAUGUUCCACCCGUAUGUACUGUAACUUGUAGAGAAAUUUGAAAAAACUCCAGGAACUUUCACUCCAAGGUAACAUCGCCAAACUAUUUUGUGACCUCGAGGACUAAACUAAGAGGACUAGCAUGACGGAUUGCCUCUCACAACCUGUGUGACUUUCUUUUACUUCUCCAUUCUUUUUUUCUUUCUGAGAAAGUAUAAAUCACUUUCCCCCUUGUUCACCCUCCAUUCCCACAACCCCUCCUUUCCCCUUCCAUCAACGUUCCCUCUCUUUCUCAGACAGGGUUGAGAUAGAUAAGCACCACUGAUCAAUG
ensembl:lncRNA